rnacentral:rRNA from 1 species
UGGGGAAUAUUGCACAAUGGGCGCAAGCCUGAUGCAGCAACGCCGCGUGAGGGACGACGGCCUUCGGGUUGUAAACCUCUUUUGGCAGGGAAGAAGCGAAAGUGACGGUACCUGCAGAAAAAGCACCGGCUAACUACGUGCCAGCAGCCGCGGUGAUACGUAGGGUGCAAGCGUUGUCCGGAUUUACUGGGCGUAAAGGGCGCGUAGGCGGCGCGGUAAGUCACUUGUGAAAUCUCUGAGCUUAACUCAGAACGGCCAAGUGAUACUGCUGUGCUAGAGUGCGGAAGAGGCAACCGGAAUUCUUGGUGUAGCGGUGAAAUGCGUAGAUAUCAAGAGGAACACCUGAGGCGAAGGCGGGUUGCUGGGCCGACACUGACGCUGAUGCGCGAAAGCCAGGGGAGCAAACG